rnacentral:rRNA from 1 species
GAUGAACGCAGCUACAGGCUUAACACAUGCAAGUCGAGGGGCAGCAUGAUUAUUGCUUGCAAUAAUUGAUGGCGACCGGCGCACGGGUGAGUAUCGCGUAUCCAACUUUCCCAUAACUAGGGGAUAAUCCGUCGAAAGGCGGUCUAAUACUCUAUGUGGUCUAUUUAUGGCCUCAUAUUUAGACGAAAGAUUAUCGGUUAUGGUUAGGGAUGCGUCCGAUUAGGUAGUAGGCGGGGUAACAGCCCACCUAGCCAACGAUCGGUAGGGGUUCUGCGAGGAAGGUCCCCCACAUUGGAACUGAGACACGGUCCAAACUCCUACGGGAGGCAGCAGUGAGGAAUAUUGGUCAAUGGACGCGAGUCUGAACCAGCCAAGUAGCGUGCAGGAUGACGGCCCUAUGGGUUGUAAACUGCUUUUAUGCGGGAAUAAAGUGAUUUACGUGUAUAUCAUUGCAUGACCGCAUGAAUAAAGAC